UAGGGAAUCUUCCACAAUGGACGCAAGUCUGAUGGAGCAACGCCGCGUGAGUGAAGAAGGUCUUCGGAUCGUAAACUCUGUUGUUAGAGAAGAACACGAGUGAGAGUAACUGUUCAUACGUUGACGGUAUUUAACCAGAAAGUCACGGCUAACUACGUACCAG
rnacentral:rRNA from 1 species